rnacentral:rRNA from 1 species
UGAACGCUGGCGGUAUGCUUUACACAUGCAAGUCGUACGGGAGUUUUUAACUCAAGUGGCGGACGGGUGAGUAACACGUGAGAAUUUGCCUUUAGGAGGGGGAUAACAGAGAGAAAUCGCUGCUAAUACCCCAUAUGCUUUCGAGUGAAAUGGAUUUUUCCGCCUAGAGAGAAGCUUGCGGCUGAUUAGCUUGUUGGUGAGGUAAUGGCUCACCAAGGCGACGAUCAGUAUCUGGUUUGAGAGGAUGAUCAGACACACUGGAACUGAGACACGGUCCAGACUCCUACGGGAGGCAGCAGUGGGGAAUUUUCCGCAAUGGGCGAAAGCCUGACGGAGCAAUACCGCGUGAGGGAUGACGGCCUAUGGGUUGUAAACCUCUUUUUUCAGGGAGGAAUCAAUGACGUGUACCUGAAGAAUAAGCAUCGGCUAACUCC